GACAGAGGGGGCAAGCGUUGCUCGGAAUUACUGGGCGUAAAGGGCGCGUAGGCGGGAUGGCAAGUCGGUCGUGAAAUCCCUCGGCUCAACCGAGGAACGUCGAUCGAUACUGCUGUUCUUGAGGAUUGCAGAGGAGACUGGAAUUCCCGGUGUAGCGGUGAAAUGCGCAGAUAUCAGGAGGAACACCGGUGGCGAAGGCGGAUCUCUGGGCCUUACCUGACGCUCAGGUGCGAAAGCUAGGGGAGCGAACAGG
rnacentral:rRNA from 1 species